UCCUUUUAAAAUUAUUAUUAUCUUUUGAUUCUAUACCUGAAGAAGCAGCUUAUUGUUUUUCAAUUCUGAUUUGUAAGAUUUAAUUGAAUAGUGGGUCUUGAUUUGAUUUUUGGAUUUAUUUCUGAAAUUUUGUUUUUGGUGAAUUGAUUUUUUUUUUAAGGUUAAAUUUAGUGGAAAGAUUUGAACUUUAGAAUGAAAAAAGUUGGAUUUUCUGGUUAAUUGUUGAUUCUGUGAUCAUUUGGUGAAUUGGGUUUUUGUGAAUUUAUUGGUUUGUUUCUCUGUGUGGAGGAUUUUGUUGAAGUAGUCCACAUUAGGAGGUGAAUUUUGUACCAAAUUUGAACUUUAGAAAGGAAAAAAGUUGGAUUUACUGGUUAAUUUUUUAUUCUGUGAUUAUUUGGUGAGUUGGGUCUCCUUUUUCUUGUUGAAAUUAGUGGGUUUUAUCUCAGUUUGGGGGAUUUUGUUGAAGUAGUCAGCAUUAGGAGGUGAGUUUGGUACCAAGAUUUGAACUUUAGAACGGAAAAAGUUUGAUUUUCUGGUUAAUUGUUGAUUGAGUGACCAUUUGGUGAGUUGGGUCUCGUUUUUCUUGUCGAAUUUAGUGAGUUUUAUCUCAGUUUGGGGGAUUUUGUUGAAGUAGUCAGCAUUAGGAGGUGAGUUUUGUAUCAAGAUUUGAACACUAGGAAGAUAACAUUUGCAUGUGUAUGAGAAGAAUGAGGACAAUGAGAGGUGAAGUAGGAGUAUUGAGGGAACAACAAUGACUACAGAGUCAUUGGGUUUCUGUCCUUCUGGAAGUUAUGGUUCUUUUGCUACAAUAAUUCUGCUACAUCACAAACUACACCCUGAAAGCCACCAAAAAUGUUUAAGGAGAAAGAAGGAUUGCUCCCCGGGAUUCACAAAUUCGCACCAAGAAAGAAGGUGGGGAUGCUUCUACUGUGUGCAGUUUCACUAGCAGUUUUCCUGUGGGUCGUGUUUGUUGACAAAGGUGAAGCACAAGAAAGUAACCCCCCCAUAGGCAAUAGGUUAUUUCGAGAAGCUGGACAGAAGGAUAAUUCUACUACUAUUGAGUCGGUAGAACGAACUAAUGCUGGACAAAGUGCAUCGACUGUCCAACCUCCUCCUCCUGUAUAUUUUAAAGGAUACAUUCUUCCUCCUGGGAAUCCAUGUGAAAGCUUCACAUUGCCACCCCCGCCAGCAGAUAAAAAGAGGACGGGACCAAGGCCAUGUCCAGUAUGCUACCUCCCUGUUGAACAAGCUAUUGCACUAAUGCCUGAUGCACCAUCCUUUUCUCCUGGGGUUAGCAAUUUGACUUACAUUCAUGAAGAAAAUUCAGAGAAACCCGAGUUCGGAGGAUAUCCUUCACUGGUGCAAAGGAAUGAUUCAUAUGAUGUAAGAGAGUCCAUGAGUGUGCAUUGUGGAUUUGUUAAAGGAAUCAGGCCUGGACAUCAAACAGGUUUUGACAUUGAUGAUUCUGACCUUCAUAAGAUGGAAUCUUGUCGAGGUGUCGUUGUGGCAUCAGCAAUAUUUGGCGCUUUUGAUUUGAUAAGGCAACCAAAAAAUAUCAGCGAAUAUGCCAAGAAAAAUGUCUGCUUCCAUAUGUUUGUGGAUGAACAAACUGAAGUUUUUUUAAGAAACUCUAGUGAGCUAGAUGGUUCCAUGAGAAUUGGCUUAUGGAAAAUUGUCACUGUUCACAACCUCCCUUAUGAUGAUCCGAGGCGAAAUGGGAAGGUUCCAAAGCUUCUGCUUCAUAGGCUCUUUCCCAAUGCUCGUUAUUCUCUAUGGAUUGAUGCAAAACUUAAGCUGGUUGUUGAUCCCUACCAAAUACUUGAAAGGUUCUUGUGGAGAAAAAAUGUCAGCUUUGCAAUAUCAAAGCAUUAUAGGCGCUUUGAUGUGUUUGUAGAAGCAGAAGCUAACAAAGCUGCUGCAAAGUUUGACAAUGCUUCCAUUGACUUUCAAGUUGAAUUCUAUAAAAAGGAAGGUCUAACUCCUUAUUCCGCAGCUAAACUUCCUAUUACAAGUGAUGUCCCUGAGGGAUGUGUAGUAGUAAGGGAGCACAUUCCAGUUUCCAAUCUCUUUGCUUGUCUUUGGUUUAACGAAGUGGAUCGUUUUACUCCAAGAGACCAAAUUAGCUUCGCCAUUGUGAGGGACAAGAUCAUGUCAAAGACAAAUUGGACGUUGAAUAUGUUCUUGGACUGUGAAAGACGCAACUUUGUGGUUCAGGGGUACCACCGCGACAUUCUUGAGCACUGGUCUUCCCCACCUCCCCCUGGUGCUACUGAAAUUGUUCAUCCUCCACCGCCUGUACCUGAUGAAAUCCUGCAGACCUCAAGCAACAUUACAACGUCAAGUUCAGUUACUGAGCCAUUAAAGAAGGUACCCUCAAAGCGCGGGAGAGACAGGAAAAAGCGUCAUAGAAAAGUCAUUGGAAAUUUUGCUUAAGCAAAUUCUUGUUUUUUUUUCCCUUACCUGUUACAAGGAUAUGAAUUUUGCGGUUAUGAACUGAGAUACAUGAGCAUUAUAGCUUUUAACACAAGGAAGGUAAUCAAGUUUAGGUGUCAAAUUUAUUCAUUUUUUGUUGUAUAUAAUUGAAGGCUUAACAUUUCUUUUUUCCUAUCAUAGCAAUAUCAUACUGGAAAUAGAACUUUCAAUUGCUAUCUCA